CCCUUAGAUGUUCUGAACCGCACGCGUGUUACACUGAUGCAUUCAACGAGCUUUACCUUGGCCGAGAGGCCUGGGAAAUCUUUUUAGCAUGCAUCGUGAUAGGGAUUGAUUAUUGCAAUUAUUAAUCAUGAACGAGGAAUUCCUAGUAAACGCAUUUCAUCAAAAUGCAUUGAUUACGUCCCUGCCCUUUGUACACACCGCCCGUCGCACCUACCGAUUGAGUGGUCCGGUGAAGCCUCGGGAUUGUGGUUCUUGCCGCUUUAUUGUGGCGUGACCGCGAGAACUUGUCUAAACCUUAUCAUCUAGAGGAAGGUGAAGUCGUAACA
rnacentral:rRNA from 1 species